rnacentral:lncRNA from 1 species
UGAGAAGUCAAAAAAGUAAGAGUGUUACACAAGUUUGUCACUACAUCUUUACAAAUAAUACAUGUAAGUUUGUCAAGUUGAAUGUAUUGCUAAAAUUAUUUGCAUUUCUACUUUUUGUUUGCCAAUGUUGAGUGAGAUUGAUUAGGUUAAAUUUUUAAUAACCAAUGAUGCAAAGCCUUUUCUAUAGGUAUUUUGUGUAUCAAACCAUGAUAUGAACAUACCAAAUUAUAGAAAA